rnacentral:rRNA from 1 species
GACGUUAGCGGCGGACGGGUGAGUAACACGUGGAUAACCCACCUAUAAGACUGGGAUAACUUCGGGAAACCGGAGCUAAUACCGGAUAAUAUAUUGAACCGCAUGGUUCAAUAGUGAAAGACGGUUUUGCUGUCACUUAUAGAUGGAUCCGCGCCGCAUUAGCUAGUUGGUAAGGUAACGGCUUACCAAGGCAACGAUGCGUAGCCGACCUGAGAGGGUGAUCGGCCACACUGGAACUGAGACACGGUCCAGACUCCUACGGGAGGCAGCAGUAGGGAAUCUUCCGCAAUGGGCGAAAGCCUGACGGAGCAACGCCGCGUGAGUGAUGAAGGUCUUCGGAUCGUAAAACUCUGUUAUUAGGGAAGAACAAAUGUGUAAGUAACUAUGCACGUCUUGACGGUACCUAAUCAGAAAGCCACGGCUAACUACGUGCCAGCAGCCGCGGUAAUACGUAGGUGGCAAGCGUUAUCCGGAAUUAUUGGGCGUAAAGCGCGCGUAGGCGGUUUUUUAAGUCUGAUGUGAAAGCCCACGGCUCAACCGUGGAGGGUCAUUGGAACUGGAAAACUUGAGUGCAGAAGAGGAAAGUGGAACUUCCAUGUGUAGCGGUGAAAUGCGCAGAGAUAUGGAGGACACCAGUGGCGAAGGCGACUUUCUGGUCU